UCUGUGUUUGUUUUGGGCAGAAACUCUCCCACUUUCUGCCUGCUCAGCCUGCUCUCAGAUGGUAGACGGGCUGCUCCGGUAGCUGCAGCCUCACUGUCACACUUGCUAUGAUGGUCUUUCUGGCUGCUCCAAGCAUAUCUAUGGCUCCAAACACUGGUACUGUGACAGCGAAUAGACACACAUCGAAAUCCAAGCGGUUAACAGCUUGCUACUAUUAGGGCAGAGUUUAUAUGCCUGGUUCCUACUGAUGUCCUCUGGUCUUUCUUUGAUGGACUUGAAAAGUAUGUCCCAAGACUGCUUGAAAUGUACAGAGUGCAUCUGCAUCUGUGCAGUCUGCUUCAGCUCCUUGAUGUACAAACUAUCCCAAAAGACUGAAGACUGAAUUCUACAAAUGUCAAUAUACAAACACUCAAAGACACACUCAACACAAGGCCUAUGAUAAAGUGAGAAAGGUCUGUAAAAGUCACAGAAAAAAUACUUGCACAUGUUUUAAAAAUGUUAAUAUAGAAUGUUGUGUGUGUGUGUGUACAUUUUGUUCAGUAAAGAGAUGCAAUUUAACUAUAGCACUUCAAGCAGUAAGCUUUUAUAUUUCACAGUUGCUCCUUUUAUACCUUAGCAGUUGUUCUUGUAUUGUAAAAGCACAGUACUAAGGCCAUUUUGAAUACAGUUUUAUUAGAUAAAUGUUAAUAAGUACAGAAACGUUAAAUAUGUGGUAUUUCUCAUAAUAUUCAGUUAUGCCUCAUGGUAAGUGUUUUAAUAUGAGGAAGAUUCAUACCAAAAA